rnacentral:rRNA from 1 species
GUGCCAGCCGCCGCGGUAAUACCGGCAGCCCAAGUGAUGGCCGCUGUUAUUGGGCCUAAAGCGUCCGUAGCUGGCUGCGCAAGUCCGUCGGGAAAUCCACUCGCCCAACGAGUGGGCGUCCGACGGAAACUGCACAGCUUGGGACCGGAAGGCUCGAAGGGUACGUUCGGGGUAGGGGUGAAAUCCCAUAAUCCCGCACGGACCACCGAUGGCGAAAGCAUCUCGAGAAAACGGAUCCGACAGUGAGGGACGAAAGCUAGGGUCUCGAACCGGAUUAGAUACCCUGGUAGUCC